rnacentral:lncRNA from 1 species
GAAAUGAGAAGAUAUGGUUGUACUCAGCGUAGCAAGGUGGCUGGGAAUUAUAAAUGAACUCAUCAACGAGUAAGAAGGUUUUUAAAAGGAAGAGGGAUUGUUUUCAACCUGACCUGAAAUUGAAGUGGUGGUGGAGCAGGGAUGGGGGCUCGCUGGGAUGGCCCAUCACUUUGUGCCUCAGCCUGCCAAGUGGAGUCGAGAAUCCCUGGGCACCUGGCAGGCAGCACGCCCACCCUCACACCUCCUCUGUCAGGCCUGAUUUUUGCCAUCUCUACUUUUGUGGACAUUUUUCUGAUAUUCCCCCUAUCUUUUAAGUCAUAAUGUCUUCAGGCUCUGUGAGCCUUGUCAGUAACAAUUAAGGGAAUCCAGAAUUUUGACUU